GAUUGGGGGAGGGGGGGCAGGGUGCACACAGGGAAAUGGCCUGCACCCGACCUGAUCAGCGUUCUCAAGCUCAGGUCGGUUUGCCUGUCCGGGUCUGGGACUAGCAAAGGGACAGAGGAGGGCAACUGUCUCAGCACUCGCUGGCUCGGGGGUUAGUUAAAUCCAGCAGCAGUCACCAAUGCAUCCUCAUCUGCAAAGGCCAAAGGCUGGGACAACCUGCCAGGAGCCCCUGGACGCCAGGGGAAGUUUGGACACAGCCCACAAGAGAAGAAUGCCGGGGGAAGAUGAAGAUGUCCGUCUACCAGCCAAGGAGAGAGACCAGGAGCAACGCCUCCCUCACGGCCCUCAGAAGGAACCAAGCCUGCAGACACCUUAAUUUUGGACUUCCAGCCUCCAGAACCCGGAGACAAUACAUUUCUGUUGCAUAAGCCACCAGCCUGCGGUACUUUGUUACUGCAGCCCUAGGAAAUGAAUACAUGGGAUCGACCCCUGGGUGUCCUUGGAUGGGUCCCUCCAUUCCUCUGGGUAACUAGAAGGUGGCCGGACACAGUCCAGAAUCCCCUCACUGGCCCAUCACUCUGACGCUCUGGCCUCCGGGCCCCUGAGAACAAGGGGGGCAUCUGGUCCACUUGGAACCUAAAGAAAUUACUGGACCAAGACCCUGCUUUUGUGCAACAAAAUGAUCACCACGUUCUUAAGAUGCUGCUAGCUGCUGCAGCUCUGUCCAGAAAUGGGGGUGGGGUAGGGCAGUGUGGCUCAGCUCUGAAGCAUUGUUUAAAGUAGCGUCUACCCA